AUACUUCCGAAAAACAACAGCAAAGAGAGGAGAUGCAGGUGGUUUGGAGUUAAGAUGAAGGUAGAAUCGAAGGGUCCAAAAUGAAGGGGAUAACGUUGGUAUACUGACUGGGAUUGAUGCUAUCUGUUUUACACACAAAAUUUGAGAUUUGUUUUGAAGGUUUUGAUUGGUAAGUUGAUUUAUUCUUUUUCUUCUCUCUUGUGCUACAACUUCUGGGUUAUUUGAGCAUAUUACACAUUUUUUUUCUUUUUUUUCUUUUUGUUAAAGAUUUUUAGGACUCUUUGAUAAACUCUUUGUAGAAUUCUACUUUGUUGGUUCUUGAUAGAUAAAUAGAUAUUGUAUCUAUUUUUAGAGUUUUAUUUUUCUAUACAUACUUGUGUCUGAUUAGAUUCCUUAGUUUUCUUAUUUUAUUUUAUUUUGUUGGAAUUUUUUUAUUUUUUUGGUGUGUGUGGGGCUAUAUGCUUAUUUUAAUGAAGAACAAAAAUAGGGACAAAGUCUCACUCAAAUGGAUUGCGAGUCUAUGCAUUUUUCACCUUUGCACUUGGCUUUACUUUUCUUUUUUUCCUUCAAUUUUUCAUUUAUCUUAUGUUUUUUUCUUUGUAUUUCACAGCUUCGAGGAGAAUCUUUGUUUUUAGCUUCUUUAUUUCAAUUGAAGAAUUUUGCGGUUACCGUGACUUCAGAAGAACUUUUUUCCCUCGUUGAAGAAAUAGCUUGUUGCUGUUGAUCAGUUAUAUGGACUUAAUUAUCAAGUUACUCUGGAUAUUCUUUAAGCAUGUUAUAAUGUUAUAAGUAAACUAAAUUACCUAAAUUACUCUCAUCCUCUUGUGAUCGAUUCUCGUGCUUUAACAAGUGAUAGUUGUCCUAUGAUGUGAAUAGCUUGAAACGGCUUCACUAUGUAUGGUUCCAUUUACCUUCUAUUUCCAUAGUUAUUUUUUUCCUCGAUAAUCUAUUAUUAAUAUAACAAGAACUUCUAAAAUUGGAAGGAAAUUAUUGUGAAG
rnacentral:lncRNA from 1 species